rnacentral:rRNA from 1 species
ACGGGGGGAGGAAAGUAGGGGAUCGUAAGACCUCGCGUUAUUGGAGCGGCCGAUGCCGGAUUAGCUAGUUGGUGGGGUAAAGGCUCACCAAGGCGACGAUCCGUAGCUGGUCUGAGAGGACGACCAGCCACACUGGGACUGAGACACGGCCCAGACUCCUACGGGAGGCAGCAGUGGGGAAUUUUGGACAAUGGGCGCAAGCCUGAUCCAGCCAUGCCGCGUGAGUGAGGAAGGCCUUCGGGUUGUAAAGCUCUUUCGCAAGGAAAGAAAACUUACCUAUUAAUACUAGGUGAGGUUGACGGUACCUUGAUAAGAAGCACCGGCUAACUACGUGCCAGCAGCCGCGGUAAUACGUAGGGUGCGAGCGUUAAUCGGAAUUACUGGGCGUAAAGCGUGCGCAGGCGGUUUUGUAAGUCAGAUGUGAAAUCCCCGGGCUCAACCUGGGAACUGCGUUUGAAACUACAAGGCUAG